CAGGGUCCCAGCGCUUGGGAAGCUGGAGGCAUCCUUGCUCCGGGUACGGCCGGGGCCGGAUUCCCGGGGAACUUGAAGGGAAUCCAGUCCCAGGCAGGCAGCUCGCCGGCCUGUGGCAGGAGGGCGCAGGGGGAGCCAGGACGAGGAAAACCAAAACCUUUUCUUGCAGCCACGCGCGCCUUUUCCCAAGUCCUGUGCAGCGAUUGCAUCGGAGGCUCCGAUUGCGCCGCCCUCCCUGCCUGCACCCUGGGUGCUGCCGCCCCGGCGCGCCGGUGCCCGGACCCUUCAGGCUGCCCGGGGCGACCUCUGAUUUCGCAGAGGCACCGAGGGGCCCGAGGUGGGAGCGAUGCUCCGCACCCGGACGUGUCAGCAGAUGGCAAUGUUUCUGUGCUCUGCUCAUCUCUGCAGACCUCCCUUGCUUUUUUCUUUUUUAAGGCAGCGAUCCGGUACCAAACCCCGGCAGGACUCUCCCGGCCACAGGCCAACCCGGAGCACCGAGGUCCGAUCACGGAAACGCAGCCAAGCGCCUCCAGCCCCGCUGCCAGCCCGACCUGCCGGUGCCUCGCCUGCAUCCCUGCCCGGCACGCGGCUCCCUUGCCAUCCCCGCCACUGAGAUCCUGCCCAGUGCGCGGCUCCCUUGCUGUGGCAUUCCCGCUCCCUGGGAAGGGCAGAGGCAAAGACAAGAACAGGCAGCACGACUGUUCGACGGCUCCUCGCCAACGCCGGAUGAGGUUCGGCUUUUGGGCAGGAGAUCGGCCGGUGGCUUUUUCCAUCCGGAGCAGCUCCUCCAUGCUGGCCCGGCUUCGUGCCGCGCUCUCGCUCUGCCCCGUGCCAGGGAACUGGGCGACAGGAAGCUUGGGAGCGAGUGGAAAGAGGCCAGGAAAUCGGAGGAGGAAGCUGGAAGAAGGCUGUUCCCGCGGUGGCCUGAACCAAACAUCAGCCGAAACACGACGGCGGGGAGCUCUGAAACAUCGGGUCAAACGGCGGCAGGUCAGGGCACCGGCGGGAAAAAAAAAGUCUAAAAAGUGCUAAGCAGGAGAUUGGAAAAACAAAACGUUUGGGGUCCGUUUUGCUGCACCCCCCAGGCGCAGAGCGGCCGGAGGAGGAACGGCGAACGCCUCUCCCGGGCGAACCACAAGCAAAGCCCCCGGCGAGGGCUGGAGCCAUCCCUAAGGGAAAGAAGGGAAGAGGAAAACCAACUUCGCCCUGGAGCUCAUGAGAUCCACCUGGCCGCAGGCAGUCGGAAGAGGCGGAUUUUCGUGCCAUGGGGCUACAGCAGUGAGACCAGCGCGGCAGAAAUAUCCUCGCGUAGUGUCUCAGUGCUCGCAAAGGCGCCCGCCGAGGCUGGGUGG
rnacentral:lncRNA from 1 species